AUUGAACGCUGGCGGCAGGCCUAACACAUGCAAGUCGAGCGGAUGAAGGGAGCUUGCUCCUGGAUUCAGCGGCGGACGGGUGAGUAAUGCCUAGGAAUCUGCCUGGUAGUGGGGGAUAACGUCCGGAAACGGGCGCUAAUACCGCAUACGUCCUGAGGGAGAAAGUGGGGGAUCUUCGGACCUCACGCUAUCAGAUGAGCCUAGGUCGGAUUAGCUAGCUGGUGGGGUAAAGGCCUACCAAGGCGACGAUCCGUAACUGGUCUGAGAGGAUGAUCAGUCACACUGGAACUGGGACACGGUCCAGACUCCUACGGGAGGGAGCAGUGGGGAAUAUUGGACAAUGGGCGAAAGCCUGAUCCAGCCAUGCCGCGUGUGUGAAGAAGGUCUUCGGAUUGUAAAGCACUUUAAGUUGGGAGGAAGGGCAGUAAGUUAAUACCUUGCUGUUUUGACGUUACCAACAGAAUAAGCACCGGCUAACUUCGUG
rnacentral:rRNA from 1 species